rnacentral:rRNA from 1 species
AUUGAACGCUGGCGGCAGGCUUAACACAUGCAAGUCGAGCGAGCGGCGGACGGGUGAGUAAUGUCUGGGAAACUGCCUGAUGGAGGGGGUUAACUACUGGACACUGUAGCUAAUACCGCAUACCAACAGCUGUGCCCAAAUGGGAUUAGCUAGUGGGUGGGGUAUUGGCACACCUAGGCGACGAUCCCUAGCUGGUCUGAGAGGAUGACCAGCCACACUGGAACUGAGACACGGUCCAGACUCCUACGGGAGGCAGCAGGGGGGAAUAUUGGACAAUGGGCGCAAGCCUGAUGCAGCCAUGCCGCGUGUGUGAAGAAGGCCUUCGGGUUGUAAAGCACUUUAAGCGAGGAGGCGUUACUCGCAGAAGAAGCACCGGCUAACUCCGUGCCAGCAGCCGCGGUAAUAC